CGGGGCCCCGCACAACCGGUGGAGCAUGAGGUGGAAUUAGACGCAACGAGAAGAACCUCACCUGGGCUGGACAAGAUCGCGGACAGCGAUGGAGACAGAGUCUCUCCUUAGGGAGCCAAGGAACAGGUUCUGCAUUGGCUGUCGUCAGCUCGUGUCGUGAGAUGUUGGGUUAAGUCCCGCAACGAGCGCAACCCUCGUUAGUAAUUGCCAUCAGUUCGGAUGGGCACUCUAGUGAGACAGCCGGUGAUAAACCGGAGGAAGGUGAGGAUGAUGUCAAGUCAUCAUGGCCCUUACGCUCAGGGCUACACACGUGCUACAAUGGUCGGCACAAAGGGUCGCUAAGCCACGAGGUGGAGCUAAUCCCAAAAAGCCGGCCUCAGUUCGGAUUGGAGUCUGCAACUCGACUCCAUGAAGUCGGAAUCGCUAGUAAUCGCGGAUCAGCAUACCGCGGUGAAUAUGUUCCCGGGCCUUGUACACACCGCCCGUCAUAUCACCCGAGUCGGGGAUACCCGAAGUCCGUGACCCAACCAUUUGGAGGGAGCGGCCGAAGGUGUGCCUGUAAGGGGGG
rnacentral:rRNA from 1 species